UGAGGGUUUGAUCCUGGCCCAGGAUUAACGCUGGCGGCAUGCCUUAUGCAUGCAAGUAGAACGAGCUCCGCAAGGAGCUAGUUGCGAACGGCUGAGUAAUGGAUAGGAAUCUCCCUUUUGGCGCGGAAUACCUCAUCGAAAGAUGAGCUAAUACCACAUAAGACCGUAAGGUGAAAGCACUUAACUGUGCACCGAAAGAUGAGCCUAUCUCCCAUCAGGCUGUUGGUAGGGUAAUGGCCUACCAAACCUAUGACGGGUACCCGCCCUGAGAGGGGAAACGGGCAGAAAGGGACUGAGACACGGCCCUUACAACUACGGUUGGCAGCAACAGGGAAUCGUACGCAAUGGACGAAAGUCUGACGUCGCAAUGCCGCGUGGAGGAUGAAGGCCUUCGGGUCGUAAACUCCUUUUACAGUAAAAGAGAUUUUAUUGAGAAUAAGUAACUGCUAACUCUGUGCCAGCAGCCGCGGUAAUACAGAGGUUACAAGCGUUAUCCGGAUUUAUUGGGCGUAAAGCGUUUCGUAGGUGGGUUUAUAAGUUAUUCUUCAAAGACCACGGCUCAACCGGGGGAAGGGGAAUAAUACUGUGAGCCUUGAUUUUUGGUGGGGCAUCUGGAACUGAUGGUGUAGUAGUGAAAUACGUUGAUAUCAUCAGGAACUCCAAGGGCGAAGGCAGGAUGCUAAUCAAUUAAUGACACUGAGGAACGACAGCUAGGGGAGCGAAAGGGAUUAGAGACCCCUGUAGUCCUAGCCGUAAACUAUGCUCGCUAGGGGUGGGGCCGCAAGGCUUCGCCCCGUAAGCUAACGCGUUAAGCGAGCCGCCUGGGGAGUACGACCGCAAGGUUAAAACUCAAAGGAAUUGACGGGGACCCGCACAACCAGUGGAGCAUGUGGUUUAAUUCGAGACGAAACGAAGAACCUUACCCAGCCUUGACAUGCUAUCGUUUUAAGCACCCAGAAAUG
rnacentral:rRNA from 1 species